GUCCAGCCCGUCGGGCUCCCGGGGUCGGAGGCGGGCUCAGGGCGUCGGCCAGGCCCGGGGCUGCUCAGGGUUAGGGUCCCCCCUCAGCCCACGCCUGGCGGGGUCCAGCUCGGUGCCUGUUAGGGGGCCGCUGGAUAAGAAAACAUUUCUCUUCUGGACACCCUUGGUGAACCUCAACCUGCUUGCUUUUCCUCAGCAGUUGCGGAGACCCGCGGUGAUUAGUUAACUGAUUGGACAGAAAUUGCAAGGAGCGGCUAGUCCAGUGGGCAAGCGACCGGAAGACCGGGAAAGUCCAGGCCCAGAGCAGUGUGGAGUUCCUUUGGCUGGUGCUUAAGCUGCCCAUGAAGUGUCCAGAGUGCAGCCUCUCACUGUGGUGCUGUGCCGCAGGAUCCAGGCUCUCUGCUUCUCCUCACUCAUGGGAUGUUGGUCUAUGAAUUCUCCCAGAGGCCUCUUUUCACAUGACCAAAUGCUGCCCUCUCUGACCAUGAAGUUCCAGGUGUCUGCGUUGCUGAUGGCCUGGUUUGGUGUCCUGAGCUCCGUGCAGGCUGAAUUCUUCACUUCUGUUGGGCACAUGACUGACCUCAUUUAUGCAGAGAAAGACCUGGUGCAGUCUCUGAAGGAGUACAUCCUUGUGGAAGAAGCCAAGCUCGCCAAGAUUAAGAGUUGGGCCAGCAAAAUGGAAGCCCUGACCAGCAAGUCAGCUGCGGACCCUGAGGGCUACGUGGCCCACCCUGUGAACGCCUACAAGCUGGUGAAGCGGCUGAACACAGACUGGGCUGCCCUGGAGGACCUUGUUCUGCAGGACUCCGCUGCAGGUUUUAUUGCCAACCUCUCCGUGCAGCGGCAGUUCUUUCCCACUGAUGAGGAUGAGUCGGGAGCUGCCAAAGCCCUGCUGAGACUUCAGGACACAUAUAAACUAGAUCCAGGCAUGAUUUCCAGAGGGGAACUUCCAGGAACCAAGUACCAGGCAAUGCUGAGUGUAGACGACUGCUUUGGGAUGGGCCGCUCAGCCUACAACGAAGGGGACUAUUACCAUACGGUGCUGUGGAUGGAACAGGUGCUAAAGCAGCUUGAUGCUGGGGAAGAGGCCACUGUCGCCAAGUCUGAGGUGCUGGACUACCUUAGUUAUGCUGUCUUCCAGUUGGGUGACCUGGACCGUGCCCUGGAACUUACCCGGCGCCUGGUCUCCCUGGACCCGAGCCAUGAGCGAGCUGGAGGGAAUCUGCGGUACUUUGAGCGGUUGUUGGAGGAAGAAAGAAGAAAACCGUUGUCCAAUCAGACAGAAGCUACGCUUGCAGCCCAGGAAGGCGUGUAUGACAGGCCGAUGGAUUACCUGCCCGAGCGGGAGGUGUACGAGAGCCUCUGCCGCGGAGAGGGUGUCAAACUGACACCCCAGAGGCAGAAAAGGCUCUUCUGUAGGUACCACCAUGGCAACAGGGCGCCAGAGCUGCUGAUUGCCCCCUUCAAAGAAGAGGACGAGUGGGACAGCCCGCACAUCGUCAGGUACUACAACGUCAUGUCCGACGAGGAGAUCGACAGGAUCAAGGAGCUCGCCAAGCCCAAGCUUGCACGAGCCACCGUACGUGAUCCCAAGACAGGGGUCCUCACUGUCGCCAGCUACAGGGUUUCCAAAAGCUCCUGGCUGGAGGAAGACGAUGACCCUGUUGUGGCCCGAGUCAAUCGCCGGAUGCAGUAUAUCACAGGGCUAACAGUACAGACUGCAGAACUAUUACAGGAGCUGCCUUGGCAUUUCCUCUGCCAGCCAAUAGUAUUAUGAAAGCUUUGAUCUGGGCUUAGCACCUGUCCCUGAAUGCUCGCUCAACAGGGACUGCUUGCAGUGUGGCAAGCGGUGAGGCACCAGCACCAGCCCGCCUCAGGGUCCCUUUGGGAAUGCUGCAGGCUUCUGCGAAGGAGCUGCAGCUCUCCUGCUGUCAGCGCUGUUUCCGCUCUAAUUGAUGUCAGCUGUGCACCUCUGGGAAGAUGGGCAGUUGAGGCUUUCUUGGGAGUUGGCUGAGGGCCUGUCUCAUAGAGGAGAUGCUGCGCCUCCAUAAUUCUCUAAGACUCAAGACUUCUGGCUCAAAGAUGUCUCAGCCUCAUAAGGAAAGUGAUUUCUAAUCCUUUUAUUUUUCUGCCUUCACUUGACCUCCGCAUCAUGAAUGCCCAUGUCUUUCACAUGACCGACUCUAUCCUGUAACAACAAAAGCAUAAAGAUUGACAUGAAUACCACCUCAUGGGAAUCAGUUUUGACAUACAGUUGCUUGUUACUAAAGCCUUAUGUCCACCUGCUGCUCCACCUGCCUGUCCUGUGCACAGGAACUCGAAGGCUGAUGCACCAGAGAUGACAGCAUAUUUUCAUCCACUGAUUCUUCAUAUCAAAAUUGUGAUUUUUAUAGGUGCUGAAGAUAAUAAUGUCCAACUUUGCAUUUCCUCAUAUUUCGCAAAUAGUGUUUGUACUGCAACAAAAAGAUUUCCUUUCUUAAAGAUUCAUCAUCCCGUUUUUCCCCCACAACUAAAGGUGUCCAUUAGUGCCAGUUUAGUAUCUCUUUUUUUUUUUUUUCUUUUGGUGCCGGCGAUCGAACUCUGGUCCUUGUGCUUGUGCAGCAGGCGGCCAAACCAUUGAGCUAAAUCCCCAGUUUUAGUAUGUCUUACUUGACUAUUGGAAUCGCCAAAAAGGACAUACAGAAAGAUACCAACUUUCUGAGAACUAAUAGCAGAGCCCCAAAGGUUUUUAGGGUUCUGGCGAGACACAGUAGCUCUUCCUGGUAGACAUUGGUGGUCCCAAGUUGAUCCAUGAGUCUCUAACCUCAUCUCUCAUUGUAUCUGCUGUAGAAAGUAACCAUUGUGAUUUAGAAUGUGCAUUGUGCUGUAAGCGUUUCAAAGGCAUUUACAAUUUCCAGCCCUAUUAAUGACUCCGGGUGGUUGCCAAGGCUGCCGUGGCUCAGGUCUCCCUGCAGGUCCGGGCUCACUCUGGGGUGGUGAGAUGGUGUAGCAGUUCUUGGCCACCCUUGUCCUGCUGUUUUGCUUGGAUGCAGAAGUACUACAUGUGGUGGACCCUGCAGGAGGGGAGGGUGAGAUAUGCUUGCCCCUUUAGGCUGAUUAUAAAGAGACGCUGGGAGACAGUGGCAGGGGCAGUA